rnacentral:rRNA from 1 species
CCCCUAGAUGUUCUGGGCCGCACGCGCGCUACACUGAACAGUUCAACAAGUCUUAACCUUGGCCGAUAGGUCUGGGUAAUCUUUGAACGCUGUUCGUGAUUGGGAUAGACCUUUGCAAUUAUGGGUCUUCAACGAGGAAUUCCUAGUAAACGCAAGUCAUCAGCUUGCAUUGAUUACGUCCCUGCCCUUUGUACACACCGCCCGUCGCACCUACCGAUUGAAUGGUCCGGUGAAAUCUCGGGACGGCGGCUUGGUCGCUUGCGUCCGACUGCUGAAACUUGAUUAAACCAUAUCAUUUAGAGGAAGUUGAANUCGUAACA